rnacentral:misc_RNA from 1 species
CACGCUCGUGCGUCGAACUGUCGAACAGCGGUCUCCUCAGUUGCAAGGCCGCCAGCACGAUGUGCUAGGGGGUCGAAGGUGUCGGGUUCCUGUGCUAGAUGCCCACUCAAGUGGAAAUCAGUCCGUUUCGGUUGGAAAUUCGCCCGAUGCCCGUUCAGGGCAUGGGGUGAACAGCGUGGCGUCUCCCGUGCUCCGCCCGGGUCCGUCCGGACCGGCGUGGCUCACGGAAGGCAGCCCGUGUUUCGGGAUGCAGAAUACGUUGUGCGGUCGUGGGCCUGCGGUCCUCGGUCGUUGAAACUGUCCGUGAAAUAAGAACGACCCACGGCUCCCGUUUCCGUCGCAAGGCGGAGCGGGAGUCGAGGUCACGGAGGAAUGC